rnacentral:rRNA from 1 species
UACGGAGGGGGCUAGCGUUGUUCGGAAUUACUGGGCGUAAAGCGCGCGUAGGCGGAUCUGCAAGUCGGGGGUGAAAUCCCGAGGCUCAACCUCGGAACUGCCUUCGAUACUGCGGGUCUCGAGUCCGGGAGAGGUGAGUGGAAUUCCUGGUGUAGCGGUGAAAUGCGCAGAUAUCAGGAAGAACACCUAUGGCGAAGGCAGCUCUCUGGGACGGUACUGACGCUGAGACGCGAAAGCGUGGGGAGCGAACAGG